rnacentral:pre_miRNA from 1 species
UGGUGACCUGAGGCUCCCUGACUGUCACUCUGUCCCAGCCCUCCUGGCCCGCGGGGCACAGGCUGAGACUCAGUAAAGUCCGUGGGGUCCUGACCC